rnacentral:rRNA from 1 species
UACGUAGGGACCGAGCGUUGUCCGGAAUCAUUGGGCGUAAAGAGCGUGUAGGCGGCCACUUAAGUCCUGCGUGAAAUCUUGCGGCUCAACCGCAAGCGGCCGUGGGAAACUGGGUGGCUAGAGUGCGGGAGAGGAGAGUGGAAUUCCUGGUGUAGCGGUGGAAUGCGCAGAUAUCAGGAGGAACACCGGUGGCGAAGGCGGGUCUCUGGGCCGUAACUGACGCUGAGGAGCGAAAGCGUGGGGAGCGAACAGG